ensembl:misc_RNA Y_RNA Y RNA
ACCACGUCUGAAGAUAGUGAGAUUGUGAGUUAUCUGAACUGAUUGCUCACAGUGAGUUACAUAUUGAACUCCUCGUUCUAUUCUUUACCCCCUUCUCACUACUGCACUUGACUGGUAAAA